AAUAAUAUUUAAAUAUUUCAAAUUUCAACAAUCAGCCAAUCAAAUCGACGUAUGCCGAAAAAUGUUCCCGGUUUUAGUGCUCAGCCAAUCAAAAAUCAAUUACAAAAAUGUCCAAUGAUAUUGGAAAUUCAGCCAAUCAGAGCGCAAGUGGGGGAAGGUGCAAUAUUUUUUCGCGCGGGAAAGCAUCAUUCCUUGGCGUGAAAAAUAUGUUGAAAGGACGCUGCUACUUUUUCCAUUAAUUAAUCAUCGAUAAUUUAUUAAUAUUUAGAGAGAUGCCAUAAAAAAGUCAUCAAUAGAUUUUUGUGGGAAAGAGAAAAGACAGCCUCAAUGGAUUCAGAAACAAACCCCGAUUAUCUUUUUCCUCUAAUUAGUAGCCGCUGCAAAGUCGUAAAAGAUAAGAAUGACGUCCAUCAUAUAUAUAUAUAUACAUAUUCAGACUCGCUCUUGUGUGUCCGUAGAGCGGUAUAUAUUUGCAGCUAAGACAACUUUUAUAGAAGAGAGACGUUUAUUAAAUUCAAAAAUUAUUUAUGCCUCCGCUUCUUGAGCAGCGAUAUCUCGUUUACCAAGAGGGAAUAAUUUACACCUUCCGGUUGUGAAUUGAACCAACAAAACGAGUAUGGUGAUUAUGACCCCCAAGUGAGCAAGAGAAGAUGCUGCGAGAUAUUUCCUGAGACUCUUGACUGGAUUUUUAUCGUAUUAAAUUUCCGAUCUCUUCAGAAGCCUGGGACCUUUCGGCAAAUCGGAUCUCCUUUGAGUACAAAUUCUAUUCUCGAUGGCUUGUGUACCUUAUCUUCAAGGAAGGAAGAAAGGACACAGAAUUCUUUAUACUUUUUAGAACUCGGUCUAUUUUUACGGUUAAUUUUCACAUUUUCUAAAUGGAAAUUUAACUUGAAAGUAGGGAUCUCCGAGGGCUAUUUAGUGUUUGAAAGAAUCUUCUUGAAGCUGAAAAUUCGUUAUUUAGCGCCAUUUAAGGAAAGACGAGAAUAGAGCCAAUUAAAAUUACAAUAUUGGUCCCUCGCAUUUCUUUUAUUAACGAAAAAUAAAAAUUUCGCGAAUUUUAAAGGAAAAAAAUUUUAAAAAGUUUAGAAUCUGUGCGUGUUUUUAAAAUCGUGUGUUUUUUCAAUUAAUGUGGAUGCUACU